rnacentral:rRNA from 1 species
CCAGGGGGUAGCGACUAUUUAUUAAAAACACAGGACUCUACUAAGUGGUAACACGAUGUAUAGAGCCUGACACCUACCCGGUGCUGGAAGGUCGGAAGGAGAAGUGUGAUAAGCUUUGAAUGGAAGCCCCGGUAAACGGUGGCAGUAACUCUAACUGUCCUAAGGUAGCGAAAAUCCUUGUCGCAUAAGUAGCGACCUGCAUGAAUGGUGUAACGACUACCCU